CAGGAAAAAUUAUAGAAAUUAAGAAUUCUCUCCUAGUCAUUUUUGGUGAAAUAUAACAUAUAUUUAACAUUCAUAUUAUAGUAACAUUCAUUAUAAGCAAUGCUUACAAAUCACUCCCUGUGUGUUCCACCUAUCAUCAUGCAACUGUAUACCGUAUAGUAGGUUAUAUUUUAUCUGGAAAAAUGUUCGUUCUAAGCAGGAUUAGAAAUUUUUGUUCGUUUUAUUUUUAUUUUGAGCAGCCAUUUGGCACACAUAGCAUUGAGGAAAUGCCUUCUUCAUUUGGAAAAUAUUCGUUCCACAAGGAAUGAGAAUGAAAAGAACAAAAUUAAACUCUGACAGAAUAUACACCCGCUAUAUGGUAGCUUUAAAUAUAAUUAUUUAAAUAUAUAUUUAAAUAUACCUCCCCUCCAUGCUACAGAGGAUAUGUCUGGCUAUGCGAGACUAUAUCCAGAUAUUGGCAGUGUGGUUAGUGCCAAUAUCUGGAUAUUAGAUCAGUUCAAAGUGUAAGGUGAUUAAUUUAACAAAGUGAAUUAACAAAAAGAAAUAAAAAACAUCAUUAGAGCUUGAUGGUGAAAUUGUACUCAGUUAUAUAUGUAAUAUUUAUUUUGAUAUCCUUUUGUUUCAUUUAGUGAACUAGUGAAAUUAAAAUUAAUUUUUGUCAUGCUAUAGUUGGCAUCAAAACUGUUUGUUUCUCACAGGUCAGGUGAUCAUGGUACAAUUAUGGGACUCAUUGCCAAAGAAUAUGGGACCCCAAACCAAGUGAUGGGCCCAUACACUAAAGCUGAAAAAGGAGGCUUGGACUCUUUGCAAGUAUUAUUGGAAUAAAAGAGACUGAUUUAGAGUAAAUACUCUUACUAAACAAUCAACUUAAUGUUGUUGUAUUUACAAUUUGCAAAGAACCACUUGGCAGUUUUAAUAAUAAUGUACACUAUUAUAGAGCCUCCAGAUGUCAGCAAUUUUUUUUAAACUCAAAGACUUUGAGAGGGACAAGAAAAUAAUGAAAAUUUUUUGACACAACUGACUGAAAAAGAGCAUGAAUUAAUAGAAAACAUCAAUGUCCUUUCUAAUAACUGCCCUGAGCCACUAAGAGAACUAUAAAAUACUGAUAAACUAGUUUGAUAUUUUAUUUUUCUUGACCAAACAACCCAUAAUGACUAAA